CAGGUUUGUAAAGUAGAAUAAAAUUAAUUACAGAAAUAUUUAAAAUAAUAUAGAUGUAAUAUAAAAGUAACCUCUGAAAUGCUCUUGUGCCACUUGUUUAUUUCUGUAAUUCUUUUGUGUGUGUGUACAAUAGAUAAAAUCGAGGUCUUUCAUCCUUUACAUAGAAUUCGCAUCAUUAGUUUCGUCAGUCCGAGCACAGCUGAUUGUCCCGAUUCGUAUCCGGUGUGAUAUAUUCUUGCCGUAUCGCCCAGCACCCCAGCAUCUCAGCCUCGGGUCAGAACCGUGUCAUCUCUCUUCUCCGGUCAUUGUGGUGUUGUUCUGAGUGUAAGGUCUCGUUUGCAUAAAGUCUCUCUCUUUCUCUUUCUUUUCUCCACCGGCAUUUGCGUCUGUUUUCUAUUCUCUGCGGUGUCUCUGUUGCGCUCCUUGGGGGGAGCCGGCGAGGACUAGAGGAAGUGGAGCAGGAUGACAUUUGCUCUGGAAAGGCUAAUGCGAUGCUGAUGUGGACUUACCAUGUCCAGUGCAGCGGGAGACAGAGCUCGGUGGAGGUAAAGCACACUGACAGAAAAACAAGAGACUCCGUCAUGAGGGUGUAAUAAAGAUCAAAAGAAUACCGCAUCAUCACAAAUAUCAAACUUGCAAAUCAUGUCUAAAUAUUUAUUUAAACCAAGCAUGACUUUAUGUGUUAAAAAUUACGGGUGUAUAUCAGGACUACGUUACCCAACACCCCUUGAAUCUCACUUGAGUCUAGUGGUUAGCACAUUCGCCUCACACCUCCAGGGUCGGGGGUUCGAUUCCCACCGUGGCCCUGUGUGUGUGGAGUUUGCGUGUUCUCCCCGUGCUGCGGGGGUUUCCUCCGGGUACUCCGGUUUCCUCCCCCAGUCCAAAGACAUGCAUGGUAGGCUGACUGGCACGUCCAAAGUAUCUGUAAUGUAUGAAUGGGUGUGUGAGUGUGUAUGUGAUUGUGCCCUCUGAUAGAUUGGCACCCUGUCCAGGGUGUACCCCGCCUUGUGCCCCAUGCUCCCUGGGAUAGGCUCCAGGUUCCCCGUGACCCUGAAAAAGGAUAAGCGGUAAUGGAAGAUACAAUAUGAUGUGAUACGGUAUGAUGCGGUGCGACAAGAUACAAUACAUUUAAUAUUUUCAAUAAUAAUUGAUUUGCGAUUGUUACACAAAUCCUUUCAUUCAUUUCAGUUAUCGGCUUUUUAAAUUGGUUUAUUAAUCCAAAUCAAAACCAGCCAUUUGGUAUUUCCCUCUCAAAAUGUGAAAUGAAAUGGGCGAAUAAAGAAUGAAAUGUCCUGAUUGGCACAAUAUUAAUGGAAAAUAUUCUGCACUUAUAUAGUGCUUUUUUAACCUUAGCAGUUCCAAAGCGCUUUACACUGUGUCUCAUUCACCCAGUCACACACACCAGUGGUAGCAGAGCUGCCAUGCAAGGCGCUAACUUGCCAUCCGGAGCAACUUGGGAUUCAGUGUCUUGUCCAAGGACAAUUCGGCUUGUGGAGUCAUGUGGGGUCACGUGGGCCGGGAAUCGAACCGCCAACCCUACGAUUAGUGGACAACCCGCUCUACCACCUGAUCCACAGCCGCCCAAAACUUGUCACAAUAUUAAGAAGAGUUUGCAAAAAAAAACACACACACACAAAACAGCUUAAGCAUGGAUUUCUCUCAUUCAGGGUUUGAAGUUUUUUUAACCUGCCACUCUGUCAGUUAAAUGAAAACUUUCUGAAAUCCACAGUGAAAAUGUCAGCACUAAAUACAGCUAUUUAUAUAACCGGUGGUACGUGCGGUCUUUUAUGACUCGUGAUAAUUGGCCAAAAUUAAAGUUCCUGCAAGAGUGAAACAUUGGCUGUCCAUCAAACUGCUCCAAGAAAUUUUCACCAUUUAGCUAGAAGACUAUGACAGAUUUUCUCGAUUGCUUGAACACUACGAGCAGGGUUUUGAGUGAAAAUUUCAAAACCAUAACGCCAUUUAUCAAAAAAACACACCCACUUCCCUAAACUAUAAACACUCUUCCCCUGUUUUGACACACGGGUCUGAUUUGUUGAACUGUCACUGCAAAUCCCUUCACACAAAUCCCUUCAUUUCUCAUUGCCUACACCGUGUGGUCAUUUAGAAAGCACUAGCAUUCAGUAUUGUUCACUCAAGUCAGCUCAAUUAGCACACAGUUACCCGAGCGGAAACAUUAAGAGUCAGAAUUCAUCACACACCAAUCAGAACCGUCAAUACAUAGAUAAAAGGGCCCAAGUCAGUUCAUUCACUUUUGGAACAAUGGAUCCAGAGAGACGUGAAGGAAGAGGUCGAGGACACCGGAGAGGAGGAGGGAGAUCAGUAGGGAGUGGAGGAAGAGUAGGAGGUGGAGGAGGAGUAGAGAGAGGAGGAGGAGGUGAAGGAAGAGGAAGAGUAGGAGGUGGAGGAGGAGUAGGGAGUAGAGGAAGAGGUGGUGGAAGUUUAGGAGGUGGAGGAGGAGUAGAGAGAGGAAGAGGAGGUGAAGGAAGAGGAAGAGUAGGAGGUGGAGGAGGAGUAGAGAGGAGGAGGAGGUGAAGGAAGAGGAAAAGUAGGAGGUGGAGGAGGAGUAGGGACUAGAGGAAGAGGAGGUGGUGGAGGAGGAGUAGAAAGAGGAGGAAAGGGGGGAGUGGAGGAGUAGGGAGAGGAGGAGGAGGAGGAGGAUAACAACAAGGAAGGGCAAGGAGACAAGCAGACUCGGAUAAGGGAUCUCGGAUCUCCAGUGUCAGAUCUCGGACCAUGACGGAGGCAGGG
ensembl:lncRNA